CUCAAAAGUUUGUUGUGGUGUGAACCAAGUUGAUGUUUCUAUGAAACAAGAAUAAUCUAGCCUUUUUAAAUACCUCAAGAUGCCGAGGACUUAUAAAAGAGAUCCGAGGGCCAAACAUCACCGCCCUGUUGAUGAAGAAGCCAUAAAACGAGCACUAGAUGCCGUGGCAAAAGGCAUGUCUAUUAGAAAAGCUGAAGAGCAGUUUAAAAUCUCAAAAUCAGCGCUG